UACGUAGGGUGCAAGCGUUAAUCGGAAUUACUGGGCGUAAAGCGUGCGCAGGCGGUUGGGCAAGACAGAGGUGAAAUCCCCGGGCUUAACCUGGGAAUGGCCUUUGUGACUGCUUAGCUAGAGUGUGUCAGAGGGGGGUAGAAUUCCACGUGUAGCAGUGAAAUGCGUAGAGAUGUGGAGGAAUACCGAUGGCGAAGGCAGCCCCCUGGGAUAACACUGACGCUCAGGCACGAAAGCGUGGGGAGCAAACAGG
rnacentral:rRNA from 1 species